rnacentral:tRNA from 1 species
GCCCAUGUGGCUCAGUGGUUGAGCAUCAACCUAUGAACUAGGAGGUCAAGGUUUGAUUCCCAGCCAGGGCA